rnacentral:rRNA from 1 species
UCCAGACUCCUACGGGAGGCAGCAGUGAGGAAUAUUGGUCAAUGGGCGGAAGCCUGAACCAGCCAAGUCGCGUGAGGGGUUAAGGCCCUAUGGGUCGUAAACCUCUUUUGUCAGGGAGCAAUGGCGUCCACGUGUGGGCGUAUGGAGAGUACCUGAAGAAAAAGCAUCGGCUAACUCCGUGCCAGCAGCCGCGGUAAUACGGAGGAUGCGAGCGUUAUCCGGAUUUAUUGGGUUUAAAGGGUGCGCAGGCGGAUUGUUAAGUCAGCGGUCAAAUCGUGGGGCUCAACCCCAUCCAGCCGUUGAAACUGGGGAUCUAGAGUGUGCGAGAGGUAUGCGGAAUGCGUGGUGUAGCGGUGAAAUGCAUAGAUAUCACGCAGAACCCCGAUUGCGAAGGCAGCAUACCGGUGCACAACUGACGCUCAGGCACGAAAGCGUGGGUAUCGAACAGGAUUAGAUACCCCAGUAAUC